rnacentral:lncRNA from 1 species
UAGCUCUUAUUUCCCAGUUACCUCUUGGCCCUGGGUCUUAAAAGAGCCAUCCCUUUAUAAAGAAACUUUAAUUAAGUGCUCCCCGGAGGCCAUCUGACGGCAUAUUUGAGCUAUUUAAUUCAGUUGAGCAAACACUUAAGCCAAGAACUGAGUGAGGUCAGAGAAAGAGGUGAAGGGCACUGGCUUCUGCGGCUGCACAGUAGGAAUGAAGACCGUGCAGAGACGCCAGGAGUACACGGCAAGAGAGAAGCCUGUAAAUGAAUGAGACCUAGAACAGUCAAGGAUGGAAGGAGAGAGCUAAGUCAGGAAGAUACCACGGAUAAGAUUGAAGGUGUCCUGGUUUUACAGGAAGAUCACUGGUGACUUUGCCCUCAAGUGCCUGGCAGAAAUGGAAGCAGAUGGCAAGGGGCUCUGAUUCCUGGAACACGUGGCGCCCUCCCCCCACCUGAGAGAACACAAUUGGCACAGCACGAGUUGCCCAACCCAGUGUGGAAAGGGCUGCGAUUACCAGAACCCUUAAGGAAGCCCCACUCCACGGUGUCCACAACAGGAUACAGCUGCCAGCACUUAGCCGGCCACCAACCCUCAGGGUCACGGGGAGGCCCACCUGACAAGCUGAGAAGCUGGCCUGGAGCUACAAUUUCAACUGUGCUGUAA